rnacentral:rRNA from 1 species
UCAAGAGAUUCGUUGCGAGCCUAUUAAUGAAGCAAAUUCAAUGAAACAACAACUGGUACCGUAUAGAAGAGGCCAGAAACUAGAGAGUCUUGACCAAUUCGAAAGAUCAUUUGGUGUAGUUCAAAUAACAGAAUUGGAACUUGUUUGGUCAAGUAAGGGAUCCGAACCGACUGAUGUUGAAGAAUCAGCGGAUGAGUUGUGGUU